GCCUGGGUGGCUCAGUGGUUGAGCAUCUGCCUUUGGCUCAGGGCCUGAUCCCAGGGUCCAGGAUCGAGUCCUGCAUCAGGCU
rnacentral:tRNA from 1 species